UAUUUUUUCUCUUCCAUUUUCUGCAUGUUCUUUGGUUUGUUUUACGUCGCUCUUCUCCCAUAGGGUAAAAUAAAGCGGAGAAGUACCCAUUUCUGAGAAACAAUUAUAGCCUGCUACAAAGAGAGCCCUGAAAAAAAAAGGAAGAGCCCCUACUGAAGGGCUUUGACAGCUCUUUAUUUGAUCUAUGCUAAUCGUCCGCGGCUUUGCUUCGUAUUAUUUUUGUUGGUUUGCUUAGUACUACUAUUGUCUCCUUGAAAACGACUGCAGGUUAACUGUGUUUCUGCUUGAAAUAGCGAAGAUAAGUUUUCAUUGCGCUUUAGGGUGUGUUUGGUUAGGAGUUGAAACAACAAAUGUUGAUGGUGUUGCGGCGCUGUUGAGUUUGUGCUAAUUUAUAAGGCAGUUUGAUUGUACGUGCUGGGCAUCACUUUGCCCCUUGCAGCCGACGCUGAUAAGCAUUUUGGAUCCAAGAUCAUUGGAUAACACGAAUUCAGGUCUCAGCUACAACAAGGCAGGCUCAUUGGCUUGUGGCGAACAUCAUCGAAACGACUCAUGUCACUGUGUAAGACGAUUAAAGAGAAACACAAGUCUUGCCACAUUGGCUUUUUUUUUUUUUAAUUUUAUGCAACUAAUGUAGCAGAAGAGGUUUACAAUGUUGACAUUUACAGUAAACAUAGUAAAUACAAAAUCGACAGUCGUUGCCA